AUGCAAGUAGAACGCUGAAGAAAGAGCUUGCUCUUUUGGAAGAGUUGCGAACGGGUGAGUAACGCGUAGGUAACCUGCCUGGUAGCGGGGGAUAACUAUUGGAAACGAUAGCUAAUACCGCAUAAUAGCUUUGAUUGCAUGAUUGAAGUUUGAAAGAUGCAACUGCAUCACUACCAGAUGGACCUGCGUUGUAUUAGCUAGUAGGUGAGGUAAAGGCUCACCUAGGCGACGAUACAUAGCCGACCUGAGAGGGUG
rnacentral:rRNA from 1 species